AGAGAGAAGCAAUACCGCGAGGUGGAGCAAAACUUACAAAAAUGGUCUCAGUUCGGACUGUAGGCUGCAACUCGCCUACACGAAGUUGGAAUUGCUAGUAAUCGUGGAUCAGCAUGCCACGGUGAAUACGUUCCCGGGUCUUGUACACACCGCCCGUCACACCAUGGGAGCUGGUAACACCCGAAGUCAGUAGUCUAACCGCAAGGAGGACGCUGCCGAAGGUGGGAUUAGCGACUGGGGUGAAGUCGUAACAAGGUAAC
rnacentral:rRNA from 1 species